rnacentral:rRNA from 1 species
ACUCUUGCUGCUUUGCUGACGAGUGGCGGACGGGUGAGUAAUGUCUGGGAAACUGCCUGAUGGAGGGGGAUAACUACUGGAAACGGUAGCUAAUACCGCAUAACGUCGCAAGACCAAAGAGGGGGACCUUCGGGCCUCUUGCCAUCGGAUGUGCCCAGAUGGGAUUAGCUAGUAGGUGGGGUAACGGCUCACCUAGGCGACGAUCCCUAGCUGGUCUGAGAGGAUGACCAGCCACACUGGAACUGAGACACGGUCCAGACUCCUACGGGAGGCAGCAGUGGGGAAUAUUGCACAAUGGGCGCAAGCCUGAUGCAGCCAUGCCGCGUGUAUGAAGAAGGCCUUCGGGUUGUAAAGUACUUUCAGCGGGGAGGAAGGGAGUAAAGUUAAUACCUUUGCUCAUUGACGUACCCGCAGAAGAAGCACCGGCUAACUCCGUGCCAGCAGCCGCGGUAAUACGGAGGGUGCAAGCGUUAAUCGGAAUUACUGGGCGUAAAGCGCACGCAGGCGGUUUGUUAAGUCAGAUGUGAAAUCCCCGGGCUCAACCUGGGAACUGCAUCUGAUACUGGCAAGCUUGAGUCUCGUAGAGGGGGGUAGAAUUCCAGGUGUAGCGGUGAAAUGCGUAGAGAUCUGGAGGAAUACCGGUGGCGAAGGCGGCCCCCUGGACGAAGACUGACGCUCAGGUGCGAAAGCGUGGGGAGCAAACAGGAUUAGAUACCCUGGUAGUCCACGCCGUAAACGAUGUCGACUUGGAGGUUGUGCCCUUGAGGCGUGGCUUCCGGAGCUAACGCGUUAAGUCGACCGCCUGGGGAGUACGGCCGCAAGGUUAAAACUCAAAUGAAUUGACGGGGGCCCGCACAAGCGGUGGAGCAUGUGGUUUAAUUCGAUGCAACGCGAAGAACCUUACCUGGUCUUGACAUCCACAGAACUUUCCAGAGAUGGAUUGGUGCCUUCGGGAACUGUGAGACAGGUGCUGCAUGGCUGUCGUCAGCUCGUGUUGUGAAAUGUUGGGUUAAGUCCCGCAACGAGCGCAACCCUUAUCCUUUGUUGCCAGCGGUCCGGCCGGGAACUCAAAGGAGACUGCCAGUGAUAAACUGGAGGAAGGUGGGAUGACGUCAAGUCAUCAUGGCCCUUACGACCAGGGCUACACACGUGCUACAAUGGCGCAUACAAAGAGAAGCGACCUCGCGAGAGCAAGCGGACCUCAUAAAGUGCGUCGUCUAAU